rnacentral:rRNA from 1 species
AACUGCGAGUGAAGCGGGAAAAGCUCAAAUUUAAAAUCUGRCGGUCUUUUGGCUGUCCGAGUUGUAAUUUAGAGAAGCGUCUUCCGCGCCGGACCGUGCACAAGUCUCCUGGAAUGGAGCGUCAUAGAGGGUGAGAAUCCCGUCUUUGGCAUGGACACCCGGGGCUUCUGUGAUGCGCUCUCGAAGAGUCGAGUUGUUUGGGAAUGCAGCUCAAAAUGGGUGGUGAACUCCAUCUAAAGCUAAAUAUUGGCGAGAGACCGAUAGCGAACAAGUACCGUGAGGGAAAGAUGAAAAGCACUUUGGAAAGAGAGUGAAACAGUACGUGAAAUUGUUGAAAGGGAAACGCUUGAAGUCAGUCGCGUUGACCGAGACUCAGCCUCGCCUCGGCUUGGCGUACUUCUCGGGCUGACGGGCCAGCAUCAAUUUUGYCYCUCGGAUAAUGGCAAGGGAAAGGUGGCACCUUCACCGGUGUGUUAUAGUCUYYUGUCGCAUGCGAGGGRUGGGAUUGAGGAACUCAGCAUGCGCCUCUUGGUGUCGGGGCUUCGGCCC